GUAGGGUGCGAGCGUUAUCCGGAAUUAUUGGGCGUAAAGAGCUCGUAGGCGGUUUGUCACGUCUGUCGUGAAAGUCCGGGGCUUAACCCCGGAUCUGCGGUGGGUACGGGCAGACUAGAGUGCAGUAGGGGAGACUGGAAUUCCUGGUGUAGCGGUGGAAUGCGCAGAUAUCAGGAGGAACACCGAUGGCGAAGGCAGGUCUCUGGGCUGUAACUGACGCUGAGGAGCGAAAGCAUGGGGAGCGAACAGGAUUAGAUACCCUGGUAGUCCAUGCCGUAAACGUUGGGCACUAGGUGUGGGGACCAUUCCACGGUUUCCGCGCCGCAGCUAACGCAUUAAGUGCCCCGCCUGGGGAGUACGGCCGCAAGGCUA
rnacentral:rRNA from 1 species